rnacentral:rRNA from 1 species
UACGGAGGGUGCAAGCGUUAUCCGGAUUCACUGGGUUUAGAGGGUGCGUAGGCGGACACUUAAGUCCGUGGUGAAAUCUCUGGGCUUAACCCAGAAACUGCCAUGGAUACUAUUUGUCUUGAAUGUUGUGGAGGUUAGCGGAAUAUGUCAUGUAGCGGUGAAAUGCAUAGAUAUGACAUAGAACACCAAUUGCGAAGGCAGCUGGCUACACAAAUAUUGACGCUGAGGCACGAAAGCGUGGGGAUCAAACAGG